UACGGAGGGGGCGAGCGUUAUUCGGAAUUAUUGGGCGUAAAGGGCGCGUAGGCGGCCUGGUAAGUCAAAGGUGAAAUCCCUCGGCUCAACUGAGGAAUGGCCUUUGAAACUGUCAGGCUUGAGGCCGGGAGGGGGUAGCGGAAUUCCCAGUGUAGCGGUGAAAUGCGUAGAUAUUGGGAGGAACACCAGUGGCGAAGGCGGCUACCUGGACCGGUACUGACGCUGAUGCGCGAAAGCUAGGGGAGCAAACAGG
rnacentral:rRNA from 1 species